CCCUUAGAUGUUCUGGGCCGCACGCGCGCUACACUGAUGCAUUCAACGAGUCUAAAACCUGGUCUGAGAGGGCUGGGUAAUCUUUUGAAAGUACAUCGUGAUUGGGAUAGAUGAUUGCAAUUCUUCAUCUUCAACGAGGAAUGCCUAGUAAACGCAAGUCAUCAGCUUGCAUUGAUUACGUCCCUGCCCUUUGUACACACCGCCCGUCGCUCCUACCGAUUGAACGAUCCGAUGAAAACUGUGGAUUGAGAGUCUGAGUGGGUUCGCCUACCUCAACUUUCGAGAAGCGGUUUAAAUCUUAUCGUUUAGAGGAAGGAGAAGUCGUAACA
rnacentral:rRNA from 1 species